rnacentral:tRNA from 1 species
GCAAUAGUAGUUCAGUGGUAGAAUCUUCACCUUCCAUAUGGGAGACCUGGGUUUGAUCCCUGGUCAAUGCA